GAUGAACGCUGGCGGUAUGCCUAAUACAUGCAAGUCGAGCGGAAACACUUCGGGUGUCGAGCGGCGGACGGGUGCGUAACACGUGGGAAUCUACCAUUUAGUGAGGGAUAACUACUCGAAAGAGUAGCUAAUACCGCAUGUGAUCUUCGGAUUAAAGCCUUCGGGCGCUAGAUGAGGAGCCUACGGUGGAUUAGCUUGUUGGUGAGGUAAAAGCUCACCAAGGCAAUGAUCCAUAGCUGGUCUGAGAGGAUGAUCAGCCACACUGGGACUGAGACACGGCCCAGACUCCUACGGGAGGCAGCAGUAGGGAAUCUUCCACAAUGGGCGAAAGCCUGAUGGAGCAAUACCGCGUGCAGGAUGAAUGUCUUCGGAUUGUAAACUGCUUUUAUAAGUGAAGAUUGUGACGGUAACUUAUGAAUAAGCUUCGGCUAACUCCG
rnacentral:rRNA from 1 species